GGAGGUAUAGCUCAGUGGUAGAGCACUUGCUUAGUAUGCCCAAGGUCUUGGGUUCAAUCUCCAAUACCUCCA
rnacentral:tRNA from 1 species